CAAUAGCGUAUAUUAAAGUUGUUGCAGUUUAAAAGCUCGUAGUUGGAUUUCUGGUGGGAGCACGGGUCGGCCCUCACGGGUUGUACUGUUGUUGCGUCCCGCCGUUUCGGAGGGAAUGGUCUCGCUAUUAAGUUAGCGUGAUCGGGAACUCUGUCGUUUACUGUGAAAAAUUAGAGUGUUCAAAGCAGGCUUAUGCCGUUGAAUAUAUUAGCAUGGAAUAAUAAGAUAUGACUUUGGUCUAUUUUGUUGGUUUGCACUCCAAAGUAAUGAUUAAUAGGGAUAGUUGGGGGUAUUCGUAUUCAAUUGUCAGAGGUGAAAUUCUUGGAUUUAUGGAAGACGAACUACUGCGAAAGCAUUUACCAAGGAUGUUUUCAUUAAUCAAGAACGAAAGUUAGGGGAUCGAAGACGAUUAGAUACCGU
rnacentral:rRNA from 1 species